AAAUUCUGAUUUUACAGAUUCGGAAUGAGAAACUGUCAUCCCAGUCAAUCCAAUUGGGAUGCCCUGGACCUGACAUGUCACUUGGCAGGAGUAACAUGAAGCUCAGAAUUAGGGGUGUAGUCAAUACUCCCAAAUCAAAAGGGGAAUUGAUCUAUGGUCGAUUUCGUAACAAAUAAAUACAAAUUUCUAUUUGUACCUCGUAAAAAAAAAAGACUUUUUUGUUUUGUGGAAUUAACCUUUCUUUUGGAAAGAAAUUAUGUUCAAGUAAGCGCAAAUAUGUCAUGGUUACAGGAGUCUAUCCAUCGCGUAUAGGCUUUAAGGGCAUCGUAGCAUAACCGUCGAGGUGAAGUCGGGACCUAAAAGAUCG
rnacentral:lncRNA from 1 species